rnacentral:rRNA from 1 species
UACAGAGGGUGCGAGCGUUGUUCGGAAUUAUUGGGCGUAAAGCGCUUGUAGGCGGCUUGUUAAGUUCCGUGUGAAAUCCCCAGGCUUAACCUGGGAAGUGCGCGGAAAACUGGCGAGCUUGAGUGCCGGAGAGGGUCGCGGGAAUUCCCGGUGUAGAGGUGAAAUUCGUAGAUAUCGGGAGGAACACCAGUGGCGAAGGCGGCGACCUGGACGGACACUGACGCUGAGGCGCGAAAGCUAGGGUAGCAAACGGG